rnacentral:rRNA from 1 species
AUUGAACGCUGGCGGUAGGCUUAACACAUGCAAGUCGAGCGGAAACGAAGAAUAGCUUGCUAUUCUGGCGUCGAGCGGCGGACGGGUGAGUAAUGCUUGGGAAUCUGCCUAGUCGAGGGGGACAACAGUUGGAAACGACUGCUAAUACCGCAUACGACCUACGGGUGAAAGGGGGCCUCUUCUUGAAAGCUCUCGCGACUAGAUGAGCCCAAGUGGGAUUAGCUUGUUGGUGAGGUAAGAGCUCACCAAGGCGACGAUCCCUAGCUGGUCUGAGAGGAUGAUCAGCCACACUGGAACUGAGACACGGUCCAGACUCCUACGGGAGGCAGCAGUGGGGAAUAUUGCACAAUGGGCGAAAGCCUGAUGUAGCCAUACCGCGUGUAUGAAGAAGGCCUUAGGGUUGUAAAGUACUUUCAGCGAGGAGGAAAGGUUAAGCAUUAAUACUGCUUAGCUGUGACGUUACUCGCAGAAGAAGCACCGGCUAACUCCGUGCCAGCAGCCGCGGUAAUACGGAGGGUGCGAGCGUUAAUCGGAAUUACUGGGCGUAAAGCGCGCGUAGGUGGUUAAUUAAGUCAGAUGUGAAAGCCCAGGGCUCAACCUUGGAACUGCAUUUGAAACUGGUUAACUAGAGUUUUGUAGAGGGUGGUAGAAUUUCAGGUGUAGCGGUGAAAUGCGUAGAGAUCUGAAGGAAUACCAGUGGCGAAGGCGGCCACCUGGACAAAGACUGACACUGAGGCGCGAAGGCGUGGGGAGCAAACGGGAUUAGAUACCCCGGUAGUCCACGCAGUAAACGAUGUCUAUUAGAAGUUUGUGGCUAUAUGCCGUGGGUUUCAAAGCUAACGCAUUAAAUAGACCGCCUGGGGAGUACGGCCGCAAGGUUAAAACUCAAAUGAAUUGACGG